rnacentral:tRNA from 1 species
GUUCUUGUGGUGUAGUGGUUAUCACAUCUGCUUUACACGCAGAAGGUCUCCGGUUCGAACCCGGGCGGGAACU